AGCGAACGCUGGCGGCAGGCCUAACACAUGCGAGUCGAACGAACUCUUCGGAGUUAGUGGCGGACGGGUGAGUAACACGUGGGAACGUGCCUUUUGGUUCGGAAUAACUCAGGGAAACUUGUGCUAAUACCGAAUGUGCCCUUCGGGGGAAAGAUUUAUCGCCAUUAGAGCGGCCCGCGUCUGAUUAGCUAGUUGGUGAGGUAACGGCUCACCAAGGCGACGAUCAGUAGCUGGUCUGAGAGGAUGACCAGCCACACUGGGGCUGAGACACGGCCCAGACUCCUACGGGAGGCAGCAGUGGGGAAUCUUGCGCAAUGGGCGAAAGCCUGACGCAGCCAUGCCGCGUGAAUGAUGAAGGUCUUAGGAUUGUAAAAUUCUUUCACCGGGGACGAUAAUGACGGUACCCGGAGAAGAAGCCCCGGCUAACUUCGU
rnacentral:rRNA from 1 species